UCAAAGCUAAAGUCCCUUUUCUAGAUUUCUCGGGGACCAUAAGAAAAAGAAAAAUUCCCACCUUUUGUUUCCUUCAAGUAACCGUUUCUUCUUUCUUUCAAUGGGAGAGUUGUUUGUUUAUCGAUUUUUAAGUCCUUUCAGUCAAAGGGUUCUUCUUACAUUGCAAGAGAAGAAAAUUCCUCUUUCUAACAAAAACCCAAAUGGUAUGAUGUAUUCUAAAUGUUUGCGGUUUGAACUGAACUAAAACUGAAAUAAGGGUGUGUAAUGUACCAAUUGUUGAUUAUGUUUUUGGUGAUUAAUCCAAAUGGGUACCAGUAGUCAAAUUUUAUGGUAAAUAAAAUGGGUACCUGAUUCUGAUGUUAUUACUCAAAUUCUUUGAGAAGAAUUACCCAAAACCAUCUCUUGUUAUUCCGCCUCAAUACGCCUCACUGUAAUCUCUCUGAUGUUCAUUUAAUAGCUUAGUCUGUAUGUUUUGAUUAUGAAUUGUUGAUCAGCCCCAUUGUUACUUGAAAAUGGAAUUAUGAUUUUCGUGAUUCUCAUUGUAUGUAUCCUGCAUAUUCAGAACUAUUCAUUUGUCUUGAUCAGAAGAACUAUUCAUUUGUCAUGUAAGUCAUUUACAUGGACUAAAUUCUGGAAUCUGCCAUGAAGGAUUAAUGUAUGUUUGGUUGUUAUCUCAUUGUCAUGAACUUAUCAGAAACCUUCUUAGUCAGUUGUUGUGUCUUGGUUUAAGUUAGUGGAAGCAUCAAACUAAGCAGUUGUUUUCUAUAGCAAAUGCUGUUCACAUGUGCAUAUUGCCGAUGGAGAAUAUAAAAAUGCAAUUGAAAGUGGUAGUCGAAAUGAAUCACCUCAUUGUUCAGAAACUAUCCAUGCCAAACCUGAUGGUAAGUGAAUCACCUCAUUUUUCUUGUGGUCAAAGGAGUUCAGUAAAAAUAGUCAUUAUUCAGAAACUUGUUACCUGGAUCUGCAAGCUUUCUCAAAUGUUGGGAGAGUUCUAUUUAUCUUGUUAAUGUCCAUAAGCAUGAAAUUCACAAUGGGCAGCUGAGCUUUAGGGGAAACGUGUACUUGAGUUUCUCAACUAGGUGUCGUGUACUGUGGAAAUGAUCUACCUGUAUGUUGACUGUUACAGCACAAUUGCGGCUACGGACUAUCGGGGAUCUUAGCUUCCUUAAAGGGAGUUUCAGAGGUGCGUUUUCAGGAUCCGAAUGCGGAAACAGUAAGAUGUUCAACCAUACAUGAGUGUGCUUGCAAUCUCAUCCUUUAUUUUCUUGCAAAUCUAAUUACAGGCUACCAUAAUCUAAUUUCAAUGGGCUUGAUGUACACUGUAGUGAUUUAUUUUGUAUAUACUUGGGGGUUGAAUUUAUCAAUCAGGCACCAGUUUCUGUGAUAACUAACAUUAUUUAUGUUUCCAUUCCGUCAUUAACUACACCCAACCUAAUUGUUGCUACUUUUCCACCUCCGUGGGAAGGACAGUGAGCCAGUUACCUUGCAGGCUACAACCAGGAUUCAGACCAAUGAUUCUGUUGUUGAGUAGGAUUUUGACAUCUUGAGUUUGCACUUAAAGUGUGGUUAGUCGCACACUUAAUGCCUACUUCCACAGCUGCAUCAAUUUUCCAUUUGUUUUAUUCUGAUCCAGUUAGAUCUCAAGGUGCAUCUUUUCAGUCUGAUGAUAACAAUGGCAUUGAAAUAUAUUUAAGCUUUAUUCAGUACCCAACACUAGCUCAGUUGCAUUAACUCCGUAAACAGUCAUUACUACUAAUAGUCUAAAAUGGUUAUUGAUGUCUCAUUCUUUGUUUCUCACUAGCAUUUUUAAUUUCCCCAUACUUGGCAUCUUGAGAGAUCCUAGUGAAUAUUGCUCAGUUAAUGCUUUGCUCGUUUUUUGUCAACUGACAGCUCUCAUGUGAAAUAUCUUUUGUAGCUCUCCGAAGAGAUACAGAACAACAGCUUUUCACUAUUUUAGAACCUUAGGUCAUCAAUGGCUUGCAUAUAAAACCUCUGGUACAUCUGGUAAAGUAUCCUUAACUCACAGUGUCAUCAGCUGGACAUGCUUUGCUUGCUUUCAUACAUGGUCAGCUUCCAGGGGAAAAAGCUUUUGAAGCUGUCGGAGGAGAUACCCAAUAAUAGCCUUUCCCUGUUUUAAACCCAUAAGUCAUUUUGGCAUAUAUAGCCUCUGGUGCUUCUGGUCACUGUAGUAAUACUGUCAUUUCUUGAUGUUGUCAAAGAAUAAUAGGGUCUCUAGGGAUGAAGAUUCUGAUGUUGACUAUUUCCUAAGAAGUGAAGCAAGUCUGUGUUUGAUAAUCUCCCUGCUAGGAUUCAAUUGGCUUUACAUGAUCUAAAUCAAGUUCAAAUUGAGUUUGACAAUGACCCAUCUUAUUUUUCUAGAAAAAAUUCUAGUGUUUUAUGUUUUAACUGCUAUGACCAAGACAAUGCAGCUGGUAUACAGGUCAAUGUAACCUUUCCCAGCAACUCCAACCAUGAUAUGUAAAAAUGUACAAAACCAGUAGUAACUCUACCGUGUACAUUGUUUCUUCCUAUGCCGGUAAAAGAGAGAUGUCCAGUAGCGGAUCGGUAAUGAAGCAACUCCAACAAUGCUGAAUUCCCUCAUCUACAAACUCCCAUAGUACAGAUUAAGGACGACCGGAAUCAGUAAAAAAGAUUUUAAGCUUACACACCACUGGAUGGUAGUGUAGGGGAUUACAAACCAAAACCUCCAAGGAACAGGUCCAAGGAAAGACGGAUUUUUUUUCCUUUGACAUAAAAGCGGUGAAAGCCCAAUUCAUGAUAAAAGCGGUGAAAGCCCAAUUAUCAGCUUUAACAUAUUUUAUCUUCUUCUUCGGCUCAUCAAAAAGAAAUGGAAAACCACGGUGUAACCGGACCGGAGUACUGUUGGUACUAUCUCAAUUCUCAAAAUUCAUAAUCAUGGGACAUUCAAAGCAGCAACAAUGGGAUGCAACAUGACCUUCUCAUCAGAAGAGGCAGAAGCUCUAGCUCUCCUCAAUACAACUCAAUGGGCAGUCACAAACAACAUACAACAAUUGUGAUUGAAUGAGACAACCAGGCAACAAUCAAGUAUCUUCAAGGCAGAGAAUCAACAGUCCAAUGGCAAUGUAUAACCAUCUUAGAUGAAGUUAAAUUAUUAGCUAAGAAUUUAGUCUCUUUUCUAGGUUUUCAGUAUGUAGAUAUGAGAGCUAACAAGGUGGCAGACUUGUUAGCAAAGAAGGGAAGAAGUUCUGAUAAUACAACUUCCUGGAAUGAAGAACCUCCUAGCCUUUUAAUUCCUUCAAUUGCUUUUGACACUGUCAAAGCAUAUGAAUCCUGUAACUUAAACAACAUUCUCCCUAUAACUGCUAUUACUGAUGUUAAUCUUAGAAAUUCAGCCAUUAGAAGAGUCAUUCCUCAUGAAAUGGUCUCUGAAGAGUCUGAAUACGCAGAUUAACG